rnacentral:rRNA from 1 species
GACAGAGGGGGCAAGCGUUGCUCGGAAUCACUGGGCGUAAAGGGCGCGUAGGCGGGAUGGCAAGUCAGUCGUGAAAUCUCUCGGCUCAACCGAGAAACGUCGGCUGAUACUGCCGUUCUUGAGGGAUGCAGAGGAGACUGGAAUUCCCGGUGUAGCGGUGAAAUGUGUAGAGAUCGGGAGGAACACCGGUGGCGAAGGCGGGUCUCUGGGCAUUUCCUGACGCUGAGGAGCGAAAGCGUGGGGAGCAAACAGG